rnacentral:rRNA from 1 species
GCAGUCGAACGCACUCUCGUUAGAUUGAAGAAGCUUGCUUCUGAUUGAUAACAUUUGAGUGAGUGGCGGACGGGUGAGUAACACGUGGGUAACCUGCCCUAAAGUGGGGGAUAACAUUUGGAAACAGAUGCUAAUACCGCAUAAAACCUAGCACCGCAUGGUGCAAGGUUGAAAGAUGGUUUCGGCUAUCACUUUAGGAUGGACCCGCGGUGCAUUAGUUAGUUGGUGAGGUAAAGGCUCACCAAGACCGUGAUGCAUAGCCGACCUGAGAGGGUAAUCGGCCACACUGGGACUGAGACACGGCCCAGACUCCUACGGGAGGCAGCAGUAGGGAAUCUUCCACAAUGGACGAAAGUCUGAUGGAGCAACGCCGCGUGAGUGAAGAAGGUUUUCGGAUCGUAAAACUCUGUUGUUGGAGAAGAACGUAUUUGAUAGUAACUGAUCAGGUAGUGACGGUAUCCAACCAGAAAGCCACGGCUAACUACGUGCCAGCAGCCGCGGUAAUACGUAGGUGGCAAGCGUUGUCCGGAUUUAUUGGGCGUAAAGCGAGCGCAGGCGGUUUCUUAAGUCUGAUGUGAAAGCCUUCGGCUCAACCGAAGAAGUGCAUCGGAAACUGGGAAACUUGAGUGCAGAAGAGGACAGUGGAACUCCAUGUGUAGCGGUGAAAUGCGUAGAUAUAUGGAAGAACACCAGUGGCGAAGGCGGCUGUCUGGUCUGUAACUGACGCUGAGGCUCGAAAGCAUGGGUAGCAAACAGGAUUAGAUACCCUGGUAGUCCAUGCCGUAAACGAUGAGUGCUAGGUGUUGGAGGGUUUCCGCCCUUCAGUGCCGCAGCUAACGCAUUAAGCACUCCGCCUGGGGAGUACGACCGCAAGGUUGAAACUCAAAGGAAUUGACGGGGGCCCGCACAAGCGGUGGAGCAUGUGGUUUAAUUCGAAGCAACGCGAAGAACCUUACCAGGUCUUGACAUCCUUUGACCACCNCUAGGAG